GAUUACAUAUGCAUAUAGUGUUAAUUCUAUAAAAAUGUAGUAUCAACUCACAAAGUUAUCAGGUUAAAUUAGCUUUAUCAAUGAAUAAAAAUGUUGUUGCAUGACCAAUGUCAUACCGUGGUCAAGCCACGGUAUCCAGUAAAAAUUAUUUUGCUGAGUAUCGUAGUAAAAGUUAAGAUAUGAUGUUAAGACUUUUUUUGAGUCGUGCAAUAACAUUAACAGCAAACUAUAAUACAAGUCUAUCUUUUUAAAAGUUUGUAUUGCUAGCUUG
rnacentral:misc_RNA from 1 species